CAGUAGCCACGGUAACACAGAGGGUGCAAGCGUUAAUCGGAAUUACUGGGCGUAAAGCGCGCGUAGGUGGUUUGUUAAGUUGGAUGUGAAAUCCCCGGGCUCAACCUGGGAACUGCAUCCAAAACUGGCAAGCUAGAGUAUGGUAGAGGGUGGUGGAAUUUCCUGUGUAGCGGUGAAAUGCGUAGAUAUAGGAAGGAACACCAGUGGCGAAGGCGACCACCUGGACUGAUACUGACACUGAGGUGCGAAAGCGUGGGGAGCAAACAGGAUUAGAUACCCCCGUAGUCCCUGUCUCUUAUAC
rnacentral:rRNA from 1 species